GAUGAACGCUGGCGGCGUGCCUAAUACAUGCAAGUCGAGCGAACGGACGAGAAGCUUGCUUCUCUGAUGUUAGCGGCGGACGGGUGAGUAACACGUGGAUAACCUACCUAUAAGACUGGGAUAACUUCGGGAAACCGGAGCUAAUACCGGCUGAUAUUUUGAACCGCAUGGUUCAAUAGUGAAAGACGGUCUUGCUGUCUCUUAUAGAUGGAUCCGCGCUGCAUUAGCUAGUUGGUAAGGUAACGGCUUACCAAGGCAACGAUGCAUAGCCGACCUGAGAGGGUGUUCGGCCACACUGGAACUGAGACACGGUCCAGACUCCUACGGGAGGCAGCAGUAGGGAAUCUUCCGCAAUGGGCGAAAGCCUGACGGAGCAACGACGCGUGAGUGAUGAAGGUCUUCGGAUCGUAAAACUCUGUUAUUAGGGAAGAACAUAUGUGUAAGUAACUGUGCACAUCUUGACGGUACCUAAUCAGAAAGCCACGGCUAACUACGUG
rnacentral:rRNA from 1 species